rnacentral:rRNA from 1 species
CCCGCACAAGCGGAGGAACAUGUGGUUUAAUUCGAUGAUACGCGAGGAACCUUACCUGGGCUAGAACGCAAUCGGAAUCAGGCCGAAAGGUCUGCGCCAGCGAUGGCCGGUUGCGAGGUGCUGCAUGGUUGUCGUCAGCUCGUGCCGUGAGGUGUCGGGUUAAGUCCCAUAACGAGCGCAACCCCUGCAUCCAGUUGCCAUCGGGCGAGCCGGGCACUCUGGAGGGACUGCCGGCGACAAGCCGGAGGAAGGUGGGGAUGACGUCAAGUCAUCAUGGCCCUUAUGUCCAGGGCGACACACGUGCUACAAUGGCCGGCACAGCGGGAAGCGGAGGGGCGACCCUGAGCGGAUCCCUUGAAAGCCGGUCCCAGUUCGGAUUGCAGUCUGCAACUCGACUGCAUGAAGUUGGAAUCGCUAGUAAUCGCGGAUCAGCCAAGCCGCGGUGAAUACGUUCCCGGGCCUU